GACGAACGCUGGCGGCGUGCUUAACACAUGCAAGUCGAACGGAAAGGCCCUGCUUUUGUGGGGUGCUCGAGUGGCGAACGGGUGAGUAACACGUGAGUAACCUGCCCUUGACUUUGGGAUAACUUCAGGAAACUGGGGCUAAUACCGGAUAGGAGCUCCUGCUGCAUGGUGGGGGUUGGAAAGUUUCGGCGGUUGGGGAUGGACUCGCGGCUUAUCAGCUUGUUGGUGGGGUAGUGGCUUACCAAGGCUUUGACGGGUAGCCGGCCUGAGAGGGUGACCGGCCACAUUGGGACUGAGAUACGGCCCAGACUCCUACGGGAGGCAGCAGUGGGGAAUAUUGCACAAUGGGCGGAAGCCUGAUGCAGCGACGCCGCGUGCGGGAUGACGGCCUUCGGGUUGUAAACCGCUUUCGCCUGUGACGAAGCGUGAGUGACGGUAAUGGGUAAAGAAGCACCGGCUAACUACGUGCCAGCAGCCGCGGUGAUACGUAGGGUGCGAGCGUUGUCCGGAUUUAUUGGGCGUAAAGGGCUCGUAGGUGGUUGAUCGCGUCGGAAGUGUAAUCUUGGGGCUUAACCCUGAGCGUGCUUUCGAUACGGGUUGACUUGAGGAAGGUAGGGGAGAAUGGAAUUCCUGGUGGAGCGGUGGAAUGCGCAGAUAUCAGGAGGAACACCAGUGGCGAAGGCGGUUCUCUGGGCCUUUCCUGACGCUGAGGAGCGAAAGCGUGGGGAGCGAACAGGCUUAGAUACCCUGGUAGUCCACGCUGUAAACGGUGGGUACUAGGUGUGGGGUCCAUUCCACGGGUUCCGUGCCGUAGCUAACGCUUUAAGUACCCCGCCUGGGGAGUACGGCCGCAAGGCUAAAACUCAAAGGAAUUGACGGGGCCCCGCACAAGCGGCGGAGCAUGCGGAUUAAUUCGAUGCAACGCGUAGAACCUUACCUGGGUUUGACAUGGAUCGGGAGUGCUCAGAGAUGGGUGUGCCUCUUUUGGGGUCGGUUCACAGGUGGUGCAUGCCUGUCGUCAGCUCGUGUCGUGAGAUGUUGGGUUAAGUCCCGCAACGAGCGCAACCCUUGUUCACUGUUGCCAGCACGUUAUGGUGGGGACUCAGUGGAGACCGCCGGGGUCAACUCGGAGGAAGGUGGGGAUGACGUCAAGUCAUCAUGCCCCUUAUGUCCAGGGCUUCACGCAUGCUGCAAUGGCUGGUACAGAGAGUGGCGAGCCUGUGAGGGUGAGCGAAUCUCGGAAAGCCGGUCUCAGUUCGGAUUGGGGUCUGCAACUCGACCUCAUGAAGUCGGAGUCACUAGUAAUCGCAGAUCAGCAACGCUGCGGUGAAUACGUUCCCGGGGCU
rnacentral:rRNA from 1 species